rnacentral:rRNA from 1 species
UACAGGGGGUGCAAACGUUGCUCGGAAUUAUUGGGCGUAAAGCGCGCGUAGGCGGCUACCUAAGUCGGAUGUGAAAGCCCCUGGCUUAACCGGGGAAGUGCACCCGAAACUGAGUAGCUAGAGUGCAAAAGAGGGUCGCGGAAUUCCCGGUGUAGAGGUGAAAUUCGUAGAUAUCGGGAGGAACACCGGUGGCGAAGGCGGCGACCUGGGUUGACACUGACGCUGAGGCGCGAAAGCGUGGGGAGCAAACAGG